UACGUAGGGGGCUAGCGUUGUCCGGAAUCAUUGGGCGUAAAGCGCGUGUAGGCGGCCCGAUAAGUCCGCUGUGAAAGUCCAGGGCUCAACCCUGGGAUGCCGGUGGAUACUGUCGGGCUCGAGUCCGGAAGAGGCGAGUGGAAUUCCUGGUGUAGCGGUGAAAUGCGCAGAUAUCAGGAGGAACACCAAUGGCGAAGGCAGCUCGCUGGGACGUGACUGACGCUGAGACGCGAAAGCGUGGGGAGCAAGCAGG
rnacentral:rRNA from 1 species